GCCUGUUCUUUCCUUCCUUGGAGUGAAGCUGGUCCCAUUAAAUGGUUGAAAAGAUUGGGAGGAAGAAAAAAACAUGAAGAGAUUCGAUACCUCCCUACUCCCAAUGGAGGCGCUGGAUUUUUCCACGACCCUUAUUUCAAUGAUGGACAAAGACCAGGAGGUGGCUAAUCUUGCCAUAUCUGAAGUCAAGCAAAGGAUCGUGGGUUUCUUGUGCCUUAAAACCAAUGAGUGCUAAAAAACACA